CACAAAUAAAGGUUAAGUUCAGUUGCUUUGCAUAUCACCACAGAAUUUUGCUGACAAACUGUUCUUCUAUUUCUACUUGCUAACGCCCCAGACCCAUCUACUCUCUCUCCACAUCCGUUUCUUGUUAAGAAUGUGUGUAUGGCUAAAAAAAGCAGGGGUAUAUUUGCCUCUCAAUUAAGUGAGGUAAAUUCCCACGUUGCCCACAAAGAUACCCUGAACUCAAACCCAGAUACAGAGAUUUCAGAGACAACCCAACAAAGAUGAAAUGAAGAUAAAAGGUCAUUGAUAUGUGGCUUCUGUUUAAACACACAAGUCAGUCCUAAAAGCAGCCACUUUCUCUUCAGCUCUACCAGACAUGUAAAAAAGAGGAAAAGAUGGUUAUAUUAGAAGGAGAUAUUAGGGGUUAUGAUGUGUUUGCGUGAUGUGGUGUUUCAUCCAGGAGAGGAGGUAGUAUUUAACUGUUAAAAAUUGAUAAGCAGGCAGUUGUUGUUUUUUCACUCUGAUCCACAGCAUUUCUUCUUUUCUUCUCUUGGAUAUGUUAAACCCUUUGGGACAUCCCCCAUUCAGUCGCUUGUACUUUCCUAUGAAGACAUGCAUACCACAUACUCCUACACAAAAGCCCACACAAAGCCAAACACUCUUGUACUGUCCCUGUCUCUUGAGUGAUUGUGACUCCAGUGAAUAACCAUGGUGUUAUCAAUAUAUAAACAAACAACAUUCCUUAAAAUAUAUAUGAAGGAAUUCUUAAGAUGAAACCAAAACAAUCAGUGUACAGAAACAGCACUGCCACUAAUAGGAUUUUUAAGAGGAUGUUUGAAGCUGUUAAGGGUCAUUCACACAGAGGAAGAUAAGUAUAACUAUACAGUUUUAAUAAUCACUCUAAUUCAAUUCAAUUUCUGUUUAUUGAAUUAAACAUGCAUGAAAACAAGACUGUGCGGGAUAGAUUUACAGCGUGUCUUUAUCUAGAUCAUGUCAUUUGAGCAAAUCACAACUUUCAAAACAGCUUUUUUUUAACGUAGACAUCAGCUGAACACUUGGUAUCUUGGGAAAACUCGGUUUUUAAAUUAAAUGCUGCUUCCUUUACUAAGGUCUUUAAAGGGGCAGAUGUUGUAACUGCAGUGUGCUUAUGUUAAUGUUAACAGAAUGUUAUCAACCAUUGGUGUGGACGCUAAUAUAGUUAUUGUUAUGGAGAUCUUUACAGUUAUCAUUCUUGGCGUGAACAGGCCUUUUUUGUUAUAUUUGUGUUGUGUGGACUUCUACAUUCCUGUAGAAUUUGAAUUAAUAAAGUUUUAUAGUUAUCAUUAUCAGGCAUUGUGUACAACAACGAUUGCUGGCUCUUUGAUGAAUCGCUUUGUUCUUUUUUUUGUAGUGUCUGCUAAAUGUGUAGAUGUACUGUAAAUGUAAAUCAAUAUUAUUAUAUUUCCCAUCUGGUAACACUUUACAAUAACAGCACGUAAAUAAUCUAACACCUCAGUUUAGGUUUAAUAACACCUAAAUUAAAUAUUAUGUUACUAUGAACUAAUCAUGAGUUAAGGCAUGUAUUCAUCAAGAACUAAUCUUAACUACAACAUGGGUCAUAUGAAUUCAUUUAUGAAAACUUACCCAAAGUGUUAAUUAAUACAUUAACUAACAAAUAUGUUAUAACGUAGUCAAGGAGGUCAUUAUUCACAGAUGUAUUAAUAUAACCUAAUAUUAAUUAAGGUUAGUUCUUGAGUCUUAACUUAUCAUUUGUUCAUAUUAAAGGUGUUAGUACAUGAUUAUUCAUGUACUGUUAUUGUAAAGUGUUUCCUAUCAUCCUUUGUGUGAACGGGCUUUUAACUCUUUAUUUUUUAUUCAUUAUUUAUGUACAUUGUAGAUUUCAUAUAUGAACAAACAAAAAUCCUGGCAUGUUUUGUUAGCAGCAUUUUCAUUUACCAGAGGUGUAAAGUAUUUGAGGAAAUGUAAUUUAUUAGGCCUACUGUACUUGAGUAUCUUUUUGGAUACUCUGUUUUACUGAGUAUCAAAGAUAUUAGCAACUUUUACUCUCUACUUUGCAUGGCACCUUGCUUUUUCUGUAGCAGUUUAUUUCUAGUACAGGGCACUGAAAGUACUAUAUCUUGUGCGUUUUGUCCUUACUACAAAAUUAUCAACAAGGCUAAUUUUCAUAAAUGUGAGUUCCUUAGCAAGUAGUUGUGAAUCACAGGUGUUUUAUAUAUGAGAUGAAGACAUGACUGCAGCCGGCAAUGAGGCCGAAACCAGCACAGCCAGUGCAAGACGGCUUUGACUGUUUAAUUCUACUAAACAUUAUUUUAUUUAUCCAUUAUACUGAAGAAACCUUUUUGAAGGAUAUUUUUUGUUGUUGCAAUUUUGAGGUGCUCAGUUUUAUUUUGGUUUUGGAAAAUAAACGUGAUUGCUCUCCUCACAAAUCCACUCUUUCUGUUUUUUUUGUUACAUGUUCUCUGUGCCUUGUCUUGGACUUGUCACUUCCUCCCGUUGUAUUUGUAGUAAGUCUGUAGUCCGUUUGUUCAUUGGUUCCCCUUGAUUAGUCUCCCCAGGAUUAUUUUGUUAUCUUGUUAAGCUUGUUAAGCCCCUGUGUAUAUAUAACCCUAGUGCUUUUUUAGUUCCUUGUGAGUUGUUGAAUGCAAUGGUUGUCUGUUUUUUGUCAGUUUUUUUUUUUUUUUUGUUCCCUGUGGUGCUUGGUGUGUUGUUUGUUCUACUUUUUCCAUUAAAUACCUGCACAUAGUUUCUUGCCUCUACCUGUUUCCCCAGCUUCUCCACAACGUUACAGUUUUUCACUGGCAUGUCUCUUUGACUAGUGUCUCUUUGAGCCUAAAUCAGAUACUCUAAUCAUUUACUCAAGUUGUUUUGUAAUUGGUGACUUGUAGUUAUUUUAACUGUAAGGUAUCUAUACUUUAAGUAUUGUUUUCAGAUACUCUUUACACCUCUGUCAUUUACUGAACUGAAAGUGUAGCACAGUACCGACUAUACAUAGAACCACAUGUCUCAUAUACUGUAUUUAGCACACAUACAAAAGAGAAAAGUUUGUGUAACCAGGAUUCCUUUUCUAAUUAAUGAAGGUGGGGACACUCAUCUUAAUGAGAGGGAAACUCAAGCAGAUGUUUGCUGGAGAUAAAAUCAGAUGUUGAGAUAAGAAUAGAAGGUCAAUAUACAAUUGUAGGUGGAGACUCUUCAGUGGGAAACUCUCAUACUUGCUUUUGGUACUUUUUUCACAUGAGUCUCUCUAGCGUGAUUCGCGAGAGUUUCUCUGUUUUCAUUUGUUGGGGAGGGGGGAAAGACCGCUUUAUAUUUAGUGGCGUGUGUUUACUACAACUAAGGGAGUCAGAAAGAAAGAGGGAAAGAGACAAAGGAGAAGAGAUUAAGAUCAGACUUUGGGAACAUCAUAUUCUCUUCAGUAUUCCAUCUGUGGAAGAAAAACCGGUGAGGUGACAUUCUGUAUGAGGUUAGCCACAAUGAUUAUGAAAUGGCCUGUGCUUUCCCCAACGUUGUGUUGUGCACCUGGUAUAAACGGAUCACUAUAGAUCCAAACCAAGAUAAAACUGUGCAACUGACAUUAGUAGACUGCUGUUGCUUACUACAUUGCCAGCUAGCCGCUGCAAUGGAACCCCAGUAUUGACUGAUUUGUUGCAUGCUCUUUUAAAUAUAAUAGUUCCUUAUUGGCAUAUAUGGUUCCAUGAAGAACCUUUAACAUCCAUGGAACCUUUACAUUGCAUAAAAAAAAACUUCUUUAUAGUGGAAAACAGUCUUUAGAGGAUAUAGUCUCAUCUUUGAAUUCUUAUUUAUCACAUUGCAUGCAGCACGAUUGAUAUAGAACUGGACUGUGGAGAUUUCUGCAUCUGCUGGUGACCUGUGGGAGUGAGAAAUUGCUUCGUAACUGUCAUCUCACAUUGUAAUUUUUGCAAGAAAAAGAAAGCCGCAAUGUUUACACAUACUGUAUCUUUGCAUUAAAGCAGUUAAUAUAGUUUAUACAGUUUAUGUUUUUUUAACAUGUUAAAAAAAUGGUUCUUUUAAGAACUGUUUCCUGGAAGAUUCUUUGGGAAACCAAAAAAUGGUUCUUCUAUGACAUCACUGAGAAACUAAGAAAUUUUCACUAAGCAGUGGCUUAUCAGACGUCAGUGGCAGAUGGCAUUAACUGCACUAUGCAUGGUUAGGUUUUUUUUAAUGCACCAUACAUUGAUAUAUAUCGCACUUGAACUAAUUUUUUUCGUCAGUUGACGCCUCUGCACUGUUCCACAGGGUCACUUCCCCUUCUCAUGCUCCCAAUUUGGCCCACCUUCGUUCAUCUUUUUCCAUUUUCCGUUGCCCCCUCACUGUACUUAUAUGUCAAUAAUUAAUAUGCUGCGUCACUGUUUUUUUCUAUGCAUAGCAGUCAGUGUCACUGAAUAGAAAUAUUUAGUGGAAGUUAUCCACUUUUAAUUUCUAAGUUAAUUUAUAGACGGCUAUUUCAUUUAAAGAUCACAAAAACUAAAACAUUUGUGUUGCCUUUGCUCGGUCAUCUGUGUUGAUAUCAGUGUUGACAUUACAAUGCAAAGUGUCUAAACUAUGACCACAUAUUCCGUUCAAACGCAUGUAUAGGUUUUAUUAUAUGGGUAUAAGAGAACUAACGACU